CAAUGAAGGAAGCAUGGUAAUGUGCACAGAAAUUGAAUCCUCCGAUGGGUCAACAUGUCUGCUCCCUCUGAACCCCCUUUCUGGGCGGCUUUGAUGAGGGGGCCUGGUUUCGACCCACAUUU
rnacentral:snoRNA from 1 species